GCCUGCAUUUCUAGAGUCUACAUUGUUCCC
rnacentral:piRNA from 1 species